AACAAAGCAGAUGAAGUACAAAACAAUGGCUCAGGAGAAAAAACAAAAAAUAUUGGAAAACAGAAAAACAAAAUAUGAAAAGUUAGAUAAAUCAAAGAAAGAAGAACAGCUUACCAAAAAUAUGAAUUAUAGAAAAACAAUGAAUAAGGGACAAAAGCAAAAAAACUGCAGAAUAAAAGAACAAAAUAUAAUGAAAUGGAUCAAUCAAAAAAAGAGGAACUGCUUACUACAAAUAUGAAUUAUAGGGAAACAAUGAGUAAAGAACAAAAGCAAAAAAUACUGGAGAAUAAAAGAAUAAAAUAUGAAGAAAUGGAUCAAUCAAGGAGAGAAGAACUGCUUACUAAAAAUAUUAAUUAUAGAAAAACAAUGAGUAAAGAACAAAAGCGAAAAACACAAGAGAAUAAAAGAGCUAAAUAUGAAGCAAUGGAUCAAUCAAAGAAAGAGGAACUGCUUUCUAAAAAUAUGAAUUAUAAGGAAACAAUAAGGAAAGAACAAAAACUAUUAGAGAACACGAGAGCCAAAUAUCAAGAAGUGGAUAUAUCAAAGAAAAAGGAGUUGAAAGAAAAACGGAUGGAAAAGAAA